rnacentral:lncRNA from 1 species
CGACCGAUAGUCGGGUCUCGCCAACCCGACGAAUCCAAAAGUUACCCCGACAACAGACUCCGAGGUCGGCACGCCCCAGGUAUGACUCCUACACUCCUCUCUCUGCCCCUCGUGCACAGAUUCUAAUGGAGAUCGAGGGGGAAGAAUACCUGCGACGGCCUCCGCCUCUGAAGGCAAAAGGCCUCGACCGUCGGAAGUACUGUCGAUUUCACCGAGGCCACGGCCACAACACCGAGCAGUGCAUCCAGCUGAAGGAUGAGAUCGAAG